GCCUAACACAUGCAAGUCGAACGCGAGCUUCGGCUCGAGUGGCAGACGGGUGAGUAACACGUGAGAAUUCGCCUCUAGGAAGGGGACAACAGUUGGAAACGGCUGCUAAUACCCUAUAUGUCGUAAGAUGAAAGGUUUUCCGCCUAGAGAGAAGCUCGCGGCUGAUUAGCUAGUUGGUGGGGUAAGGGCCCACCAAGGCGAAGAUCAGUAGCUGGUUUGAGAGGAUGAUCAGUCACACUGGAACUGAGACACGGUCCAGACUCCUACGGGAGGCAGCAGUGGGGAAUUUUCUGCAAUGGGCGAAAGCCUGACAGAGCAAUACCGCGUGAGGGAUGAAGGCUUUCGAGUUGUAAACCUCUUUUAUCAAGGAGGAAGUUCUGACGUUACUUGAUGAAUAAGCAUCGGCUAACUCCGUGCCAGCAGCCGCGGUAAGACGGAGGAUGCAAGUGUUAUCCGGAAUCACUGGGCGUAAAGCGUCUGUAGGUGGUUUAGCAAGUCUGUUGUUAAAGCUCAAGGCUCAACCUUGACAGGGCAAUGGAUACUACUAGACUUGAGGUUUGCAGAGGUAGAGGGAAUUUCCAGUGGAGCGGUGAAAUGCGUAGAUAUUGGAAAGAACACCAAAGGCGAAGGCACUCUACUGGGUUAUACCUGACACUGAGAGACGAAAGCUAGGGUAGCAAAUGGGAUUAGAUACCCCAGUAGUCCUAGCCGUAAACGAUGGAUACUAGAUGUUGGAGGUCCCGAUCCCUCUGAUAUCAAAGCUAACGCGUUAAGUAUCC
rnacentral:rRNA from 1 species